GGUAGUGGCUCAGUGGUAGAGCACAUGCUUAGCACGCACGAGGUCCUGGGUUCAAUCCCCAGUACCU
rnacentral:tRNA from 1 species